CCCAUUUGUUCUCUCCCUGUGUGUCAAAUAACUUCAUUGCUGCAGGUGCAGCCCUGGUUUUGAAAAUCAGGAGCCUUGUCUCGCAUCUCCAGUUCUGCCACUGACAAGCUGUGAAAUGUGGGGAACAUCAAUCACCCAUCUCUCUGGCUUCAGUUUCCAUACCUAUAAAAUAAGCGUUGGACAGGUUGAAAUUCUUUCAGCUGUAGCAAAACUGUGAUUCUAUGAACCACACCAUUUGUUUUGUUGUCAUGGAAACAGCCUGAGGCUCAAUUAACCUUACUACCUACCCCAGAGGACCAACCCCGAGGCAGAGUGGUGCCCCUGCUUUAGAAGUCUCCACAGUUCAGCCAACUUCCGCUUUAUAAAAACACUGUGUGCCUCUCACCCAUCCUGAAUCUCCCAAAGGCACAUUUCUUGCACUGUGAAAACCUCCUGGGUGCCACACACAGGGACACCUCUGGAACUCAUCUGUCCUGAAGGAGAUUCCCCGACAGAGACGUAAGGACAUAUUUUCCUUAGAAAAUACUGGAGGUGAAGGUAUUGGACUUCAUCUGGUGACAAGCCCAGGCUAAGGCUAUUUAUGCCUCAGCUAAGA
rnacentral:lncRNA from 1 species